GAUGAACGCUGGCGGCGUGCCUAAUACAUGCAAGUCGAGCGAACAGACGAGGAGCUUGCUCCUCUGACGUUAGCGGCGGACGGGUGAGUAACACGUGGAUAACCUACUUAUAAGACUGGGAUAACUUCGGGAAACCGGAGCUAAUACCGGAUAAUAUAUUGAACCGCAUGGUUCAAUAGUGAAAGACGGUUUUGCUGUCACUUAUAGAUGGAUCCGCGCCGCAUUAGCUAGUUGGUAAGGUAACGGCUUACCAAGGCAACGAUGCGUAGCCGACCUGAGAGGGUGAUCGGCCACACUGGAACUGAGACACGGUCCAGACUCCUACGGGAGGCAGCAGUAGGGAAUCUUCCGCAAUGGGCGAAAGCCUGACGGAGCAACGCCGCGUGAGUGAUGAAGGUCUUCGGAUCGUAAAACUCUGUUAUUAGGAAGAACAAAUGUGUAAGUAACUAUGCACGUCUUGACGGUACCUAAUCAGAAAGCCACGGCUAACUACGUG
rnacentral:rRNA from 1 species